UCCGCCCGCCGCUGUGGGCGCGCCGAGGGGGGAGGGCGGCGGGAGGAUAGGGGGGCGGAGCUCCCGGGAGAGCCAAUCAGACGCCGGGACGGAACGCUUAGGUGACAAUCCGUUCCUCCGACGGGGCGGUGCCAGGCAUGGGGGCGGGGAGAAGCGGGUAUAUGCAAAAGAAGUGACGUCCCGAGUGACUCCCGUCUCCGAUUGGCCAGGGGUUUUGCCUUGAGGGCGGGCAUUUAGAGGGUUGGUGACUUGGCUGAAGAAGACAAGCCGGAGGGGGCCCGUGUGUGCGCCUUGGUUGCGCGCAUGCGUAGGGUACACGUGCGUCUGCUCGCCAGGACUGUGGCCUGGGGGAGAGGAGAAAGCUGUGACAACCACUGAGGAAACGACUCAGACCUAGAUCUGUAGUCCCGUGGGAAAGAGAACCCUGCCAGCAAAUGGAGAGAUGCCUUUUCCAUACCAGUUCCCCCUUGUCUUCCAUUAGAAGUCCUACCCUAGUCAUGGCUCUUGAAGAUCUUAAUUUCUGAAUAUAUCGAAGGCUACAUCAAG